GCCAGGCGCAGUGGCCCACACCUGUAAUCCCAGUGGCUCUGGAGGCUGAGACAGGAGGAUCAAAAGUUCAAAGCCAGCCUCAGCAAUGGCGAGGAGCUAAACAACUUAGUGAGACCCUGUCUCUA
rnacentral:sRNA from 1 species